rnacentral:misc_RNA from 1 species
UCUCCGUAGGUGAACCUGCGGAGGGAUCAUUACUGAGUGAGGGUUUCACCGCCCGACCUCCAACCCUUUGUGAACCGUACUCGUUGCUUCGGGGGCGACCCUGCCGCUUCGGCGGUGCGGCGCCCCCGGAGGCCUUCAAACACUGCAUCUUUGCGUCGGAGGUUAAGUAAAUUAAACAAAACUUUCAACAACGGAUCUCUUGGUUCUGGCAUCGAUGAAGAACGCAGC